UUGCAUUUGAAGCCCAUGAGGAUGAGAACCUCCGGGGGCGGGGAGGUUCGACUCGAGCGAAGCGAGAGAACGUUGCGCCAGCAACGGCCCGC
rnacentral:sRNA from 2 species